CGCUUAAGGACUCAUGAAGAGUUAGUGUUGCUUGCAAACACCAAUACGGAGCUCCCAGAUGUCAUGGGCGAAGUAGUUUCCACCAAAGCGUAUCGUAAUGGGAUGUCACAAACUUUGGAGAGGAUGUUAGUUCAUCUGCGUCUUCAAAGUGGUCAGAAUGUCCGUCUAAGUGCAUUUGACGACCAGGCAACCUCAAUGGAGAAAGUCUUUAGCAAGAAUGAUGAGGGGACUUAUAUACUCUUAGCGACCAAUAUAAACCCAAAUAUCUUUGUGAACUUUAUCUUAAUGCUACGUCUGGGAGCAAGUUUUAUUCUGAUGGAGACUUGACAACGACACAAGAGUUCGCUGAAAGGCUGAAGGGGAGAGAAAAAGAUGGCACCUCUUCAAUCGCACCAUAUCAUGGAGUACAUAUUAAGCAUCAAUCAAGGAUCAAUCAUCAUCAAUGAUUAGAUCAAUCACUAGCUAGUUAGUAUCAAGGAUUCUUCAAGAUCAAUUAUCAUCAAUGAUUAAAUCAAUUUCACGCUAGUUAGUAUCUUCCAAUUAUGUAAAUAGUAUCAUGUCUUUACUUUCUUCACAAUACUCUAUGAAUGUCUAUGUGUA